rnacentral:rRNA from 1 species
GACGAACGCUGGCGGCGUGCUUAACACAUGCAAGUCGAGCGGUAAGGCCCUUUCGGGGGUACACGAGCGGCGAACGGGUGAGUAACACGUGGGUGACCUGCCCUCAGCUCUGGGAUAAGCCUGGGAAACCGGGUCUAAUACUGGAUAUGACUCCAUGACGCAUGUUGUGGGGUGGAAAGCCUUGUGCGGCUGAGGAUGGGCCCGCGGCCUAUCAGCUUGUUGGUGGGGUGGAUGGCCUACCAAGGCGACGACGGGUAGCCGGCCUGAGAGGGCGACCGGCCGACACUGGGACUGAGACACGGCCCAGACUCCUACGGGAGGCAGCAGUGGGGAAUCUUGCGCAAUGGGCGAAAGCCUGACGCAGCGACGCCGCGUGAGGGAUGACGGCCU